UGUAGAAUGAUGAAAAAAAUCGGACGGAUUCCCAAUGAUAACAUUCAUUCGUGUCUGUAUGAUAUUAAACCAGCUACUUCUGACUACA